UCUGGGAGAGUAUGGGGCCCUUGGGAGCCCCAUCCAUGAAGAAAGCCUCAUCGAUGGCCAAGCCCCACUGCCGGAGGGUCUUGAUGGCUCUGGCGCCCAUGUCCCGGCCGCUGCGGGCGGUCACCAGGCUACUGGUGGGGACAGGAGAGGAGACUGAAGCGUUCAGGACUGUACUGACAUCUGUCCUGUCAGCUGAGAGGAAGAGCUUGACCCCGUGGGACUUGAGAUACUGUGUGGAGUCCUCAUCACUGACAAAGCAGAACUUGGAGAUCUCCAGGCCUUUGAGUCAGGGGAUGCAAGCAAAGUCUCUGUUAUGAGGAGUCCCACAGUGGUGGGAUUUGGGUGUUGGAGGCCUUUAGAGAAGAGGUACCAAGCCAAAUCUUCACCUUCAGGCCACCAAGCCUGAGGCAGGCAGCUGUGAAACCCUAACCUCUCUGGCAAGUGUCAAAUGCUUCUGUGAGCAGCCCACACUUGAGGACUGCUUCAUCCUUCCGAUCUUUGUGGGCAGAGCAGAGCCAUGGUCACUUGCUGGUGCUGAGCUGGGCACUGCUGGGUUUCUCUCUGCCUAUACCUGUGGCUUUGCUCUGGGUUCUGGGAAGUCUACUAAAGUCUCUACAUACAAAGGCUGCUGCUUUCUCCCUGGAUGCAAAUGCCCACAGCCCUGCAACUUCUUCCCUUAGAGGCUCCCACUGGGAGCAGGUGCCCAGCAGCUUCUGCUGAAACCCAGGCACAAGCAGCUCAAGGCACCACGGCUCCAGGUUGUGGUGUGCUGUUUUCUGUU